UCCACGAAAGAUAACUCUAAUAUUUGGUCAUUGCCACGUGUGAACAUUGUAGAAGGUAAACAUGUCGCAAGAAGACGAGAAAUAUAUGGACGAGUUUGACAAAUACAAUAUAGAGCAGGACAAGUAUGUCCACGGCAAAAGCGGGAAAGGUCGUACCAAGCAAGAGGCCGAGCAGAACAAACACUCGGGAGAACACACGCGCAAAAUCGCCGAACAUCUUAUAAACAGCGCACAUAAAUCGGAAAAGGAACCUACUGGGCCAGUACAUACCAAAAAAUAGCAUGUCAAGAAUUAUUACAGAUCAGAACGGACUAAAUCAUGGAAUAAAAGAGACAGAAUUACUGAAUAAAGACACUAGAAUCAACGGAAAGAAGAAAUGACAAUUGAUUGUAACAAGCAGCAGAGCUGUUUAUAAAAAGAUUACAUUGGUUAGGGAUUUCAUUUUUUCGCAGUCGCAAAAAUUUCUAUGCAUUUGAUUAAUAUUUGUAUUAUUUAUUUUAUUUUCUUGUAUAAAUGUUGUGUCUUGAGAAAGAAAAUAUUUGUUGGGUUUUAUAAUGUUAAAAAUGUUUUCCAACAUUUUCAGUUGUUUUGUUGUUCAGUGUUUACGAAGAACUGCGAACGCUUACUCCUGAUUCCCGCCUACAUUUUAUACACCCAUAAUUACAUAAUUCAACAUAUUUGACAUAUUAACUGCUAAAUUAAUACAAUUGUUAAGUAAUUAAUUGCUGAUAAAUACAGUCUUUACAAUGAG